rnacentral:rRNA from 1 species
CCUCGGGCGGCAGCAGUGGGGGAUACUGCACAAUGGGGGAAACCCUGAUGCAGCGACGCCGCGUGUGGGAAGACGGUCCUCUGGAUUGUAAACCACUGUCCCCAGGGACGAAGAUGACGGUACCUGGGGAGGAAGCUCCGGCUAACUACGUGCCAGCAGCCGCGGUAAUACGUAGGGAGCGAGCGUUGUCCGGAAUUACUGGGUGUAAAGGGAGCGUAGGCGGGGAUGCAAGUUGGGGGUCAAAACUACCGGCUCAACUGGUAGUCGCACUCAAAACUGCCGCUCUUGAGUGAAGUAGAGGCAGGCGGAAUUCCUGGUGUAGCGGUGAAAUGCGUAGAUAUUAGGAGGAACACCAGUGGCGAAGGCGGCCUGCUGGGCUUUUACUGACGCUGAGGCUCGAAAGUGUGGGGAGCAAACAGGAUUAGAUACCCCUGUAGUC